GUUGACAGAUUGAUAGCUCUUUCUUGAUUCGGUGGGUGGUGGUGCAUGGCCGUUCUUAGUUGGUGGAGUGAUUUGUCUGGUUAAUUCCGAUAACGAACGAGACUCUGUCCUGCUAAAUAGUGUCCGCCUCUCUUUUGGGCGGACAAUUCUUCUUAGAGGGACUGGCGACUCUCAGUCGCACGAGAUUGAGCAAUAACAGGUCUGUGAUGCCCUUAGAUGUUCUGGGCCGCACACGCGCUACACUGAAUAGAUCAACGUGUUCCCCCUGUCCGAGAGGACCGGGUAAACCGCUGAACCCUAUUCGUGGUAGGGAUCGGGGCUUGCAAUUGUUCCCCGUAAACCAGGAAUUCCCAGUAGGCGCAAGUCAUAAGCUUGUGUCGAUUACGUCCCUCCCCCUUUGUAA
rnacentral:rRNA from 1 species